GUGGGGAAUCUUGCGCAAUGGGCGAAAGCCUGACGCAGCCAUGCCGCGUGGAUGAUGAAGGUCUUAGGAUUGUAAAAUCCUUUCACCGGUGAAGAUAAUGACUGUAGCCGGAGAAGAAGCCCCGGCUAACUUCGUGCCAGCAGCCGCGGUAAUACGUAGGGGGCGAGCGUUAUCCGGAAUUAUUGGGCGUAAAGCGUGCGUAGGCGGAAUGUUAAGUCAUUUGUAAAAGAUCUCAGCCUAACUGAGUAAGGCGAAUGAAACUGGCAAUCUUGAAUACGGUAGAGGUAAGUGGAAUUCAAUGUGUAGCGGUGGAAUGCGUAGAUAUAUGGAGGAACACCAAUGGCGAAGGCAGCUUACUGGGCCGGAAUUGACGCUGAGGCACGAAAGCGUGGGGAGCAAACAGGAUUAGAAACCCGGGUAGUCC
rnacentral:rRNA from 1 species